UGAAGUGAUUUGUUUGACAAUCAGAUGAAAUCACCAUCACACAACACCCAUGAUAAUGUGCAACUGAGCCUGCGCAGACUGAGAGAAAAAAAACACCCCGUUUACUACUAAGAUCUCUACGGUAUCCCGUCUAAGAUCAGCAUAUCCCAGGCAUUUUAUCCUUGUGUCACAUAACCGGGAUACAAGCUUUUUCGGGUUAUUGUAAACGGGAUAUGAUGUUUAUAUGAGUCAGCUCAAAAACAGAAUACUUGAGCAUCCUGAAUAAUAACAGGAUAUUGGUGUGCAUGCAAACGUUGUCACAGAUGCAGAGAAGCAGUGCCUUUGCUUCAGAAUUUAGUUACACGAAUAAUGCUCCUGACUCUGAACAAGGUGAAAGCAAUUGCAUUUCUGCCUCCCUCCUCUGAGUCCCGGGAGAUGUAUUCAGAGGAGGGCUGUUCAUCAGAGGCAAUGCUCCGUUAGAUGGCCCCGCAGGAAGCCUGAGAAGAGAAAGCUGGAAGCCAUUUUGUUUGGGCGGAAAGAGCAGGUUUUUCUCAACACCCUCAUUAUCAUUAAUCAGAGGAAUCCGGGACGGGGAGAGAGAGGUUCACAGAAAUCUCUUCUGAUUAAUUGUGAGCAGCGGCUUCCAAAACACUGCAAUGGAAAUCUCUCAUUUGUAUUCUGCUCCAAAACACAAAAGGAAUCAUUUGAGGAGAGAAAGAAAGAAAAUAAGAAAUGAAGAUGCAAAAAAAAUAAUGCAGGAAAUAUCUUCUCUCUCUCCAGCUCACCACUAUACCUACCUGGUGGGUAAUUAGGUUUAAAGCAAAGCUUCGAUUGGACAGCAGAAUGUACUGGAACAUCUUAAUAGGUGUUGCAGAGAUCUUGUUAUGUCUCAGGAAAAAAACCUGGAUAAGACUGGUCAAGCUUCAAUUAGCGCCUCAUGUUCGUGCCUGCUGGCACCUGGCUCUGGGCCCUAGGUUCUGGGCCAUGGGCCCCCCAGCCCCUGAGGUAACCGGGGCCAGAGCAGAUGGAGGGACAACACACUGACGACACUACAGCCGGGAGACACUAACAGUCUCUCAUAAGGCCACCUCAAUGCUCAGUAAAUGUGUGAACGGACACAUACUGUAUACACUGCCCUACCAAGCAAAACGGCAGUAACUGCUCAUUUGGUCGAAAAUGAGUUAGUCAUUUUUGCUACAUUAAAAACAUGCUUAAUCAUGUGGACAAGUAUCCUGCUUCUACUGUAUUGUGUUUUGGAGAAACUGGGAGUCAUAUUAGCAGUAAAAGCACUAGGUUACUGUGAAACAAAGGGAAAUAAAAGCUACUUUUCUCAGUUCCACGCUAUGAGCAGUUACUGGCUUUUUGCUUGGUCGGGCAAUAUAAACACAAACAAAAUAAUUAACAUUUUGACCGGGGUUGGAGGAAGACGUGUAUUGUUUUCAGAGGAAGAGAUAGAUGGAGAGUGUCUUAGUUCUUUAUUUGUUUUCCUUUUAUGUGUAAUGAUGGUCUUAUUUAAUAGUGCAGUACAUACAGUACCUGAAGCUCUUCUGUCUGAAGGAGAGCUGAAAUGUCAAUAUUUUACAUUCUCCGUGUGCUACUACUAAAAGUAAUAACAUGAAUACAUUGAGAACAGAAACGGCUGUCAGAAAGAAAAUCUCACUAUUUGGAAUAAAUGCUCUUCUACAACUUGUCUAGCUACUCCGCUCUCAUUUCAAGCUGUUGAAAAGAAUGAGUACAAUAAAUUGCCCCUGAAAAAGAAAAAAACUCAAAUUUAGGUGAGCAAUUUGCGUCAACAGUAGCUUCUCAGCAUGAGAAACGUGCAUCUCAACUAGUAAAAGCCCAAUUGCAAAACAAGCUUAGUCAGAUAUAUGCAAAUAUAAAUGAGUUUAAUCUCUGCUUCAUUUGAGAUGUUCCCAAAUUAAAAGAGUUGAAAUGUUACACUUUUCCCUCCAUUGUUGCAUGGAGGGAAAAGGCCCCUUCAGGCUUCUUCUCACACUGCACCUUGUCUACCCAAACGCUGGCUACCAAUACGUGUCCUUUGCAUACAGAGUGCAUUUCACACAGUGGAACUCUCCAAGCAUCGGAAAGCAUAAUGUAGGUAACUGAAAUAUACACAUAGGCCUAUCUCCCCAAAGCAAUUGAACUGUGAAUGUACUCCAAAUACAUGGUCAAUAGCCUGAAAAAAACACUACUUCAAAAGAAUAGUCACUAUGUAAAUUUUGACUGAGACGGAAUCAUUUCACAGGGGAAAAUUACAGUGUUGGUCCUUUUCUGACACAGCUUGUGAAGACAACAAUCCCUCCUACCCCAUCUCUCCCACUCCCAUCCCUCCUCUCCCAUCCUAUCCCUCCUCUCCCACAUCUCCCACUCCCAUCCAUCC